GGGAAUGUGGCUUAGUGGUAGAGUGCUUGCCUAGCAUGCAUGAAGCUCUAGGUUCGAUUCCUCAUGACCA
rfam:Dipodomys ordii contig_31157, whole genome shotgun sequence.